rnacentral:rRNA from 1 species
GGAUGUGUAUAAAGUGGCGAACGGCUGAGUAACACGUGGGCAACCUGCCCUUUGCACUGGGAUAGCCUCGGGAAACCGAGGUUAAUACCGGAUACUCCAUAUUUGUCGCAUGGCGAAUAUGGGAAAGCUCCGGCGGCAAAGGAUGGGCCCGCGGCCUGUUAGCUAGUUGGUGGGGUAGUGGCCUACCAAGGCAAUGAUGGGUAGCCGGGUUGAGAGACCGACCGGCCAGAUUGGGACUGAGACACGGCCCAGACUCCUACGGGAGGCAGCAGUGGGGAAUCUUGCACAAUGGGCGAAAGCCUGAUGCAGCGACGCCGCGUGCGGGAUGAAGGCCUUCGGGUUGUAAACCGCUUUCAGCAGGGACGAGGCCGCAAGGUGACGGU